rnacentral:rRNA from 1 species
AUUGAACGCUGGCGGCAGGCCUAACACAUGCAAGUCGAGCGGAUGAAGGGAGCUUGCUCCUGGAUUCAGCGGCGGACGGGUGAGUAAUGCCUAGGAAUCUGCCUGGUAGUGGGGGAUAACGUCCGGAAACGGGCGCCAAUACCGCAUACGUCCUGAGGGAGAAAGUGGGGGAUCUUCGGACCUCACGCUAUCAGAUGAGCCUAGGUCGGAUUAGCUAGUUGGUGGGGUAAAGGCCUACCAAGGCGACGAUCCGUAACUGGUCUGAGAGGAUGAUCAGUCACACUGGAACUGAGACACGGUCCAGACUCCUACGGGAGGCAGCAGUGGGGAAUAUUGGACAAUGGGCGAAAGCCUGAUCCAGCCAUGCCGCGUGUGUGAAGAAGGUCUUCGGAUUGUAAAGCACUUUAAGUUGGGAGGAAGGGCAGUAAGUUAAUACCUUGCUGUUUUGACGUUACCAACAGAAUAAGCACCGGCUAACUUCGU